rnacentral:rRNA from 1 species
UACGUAGGGUGCGAGCGUUGUCCGGAAUUAUUGGGCGUAAAGAGCUUGUAGGCGGUUUGUCGCGUCUGCCGUGAAAAUCCGGGGCUCAACCCCGGACUUGCGGUGGGUACGGGCAGACUAGAGUGUGGUAGGGGAGACUGGAAUUCCUGGUGUAGCGGUGAAAUGCGCAGAUAUCAGGAGGAACACCGAUGGCGAAGGCGGGUCUCUGGGCAAUAACUGACGCUGAGGAGCGAAAGCGUGGGGAGCGAACAGG